GCCGAGCUCAGUAGUGUGGGCUUGUAACCCAAAUGGGGGCAUUAAUGUAGUGGAAUGUUGGGCUGCUCCAGAUGGUAGGGCUUGGUGGGCUAGUUUCUGGCCUGUCCUGUCCAAGCACAGAGUUGGGUCACGUGGCCCAAGCGAAAGCAUGGGCUGCUGGGCUCCUAAAGUGGGGCGGACCGCGUGAGGCUGGUUUCACAGAGCAACGAAUAGCUCCCGCUCUGUGCAGUGGAAGGAUUACGGGCUGGUGUUCUCCAAGCCCAACAAAUGCCUCAUGGGCUGCUCCAGUUAAACCUCUACUUUU
rfam:Nicotiana attenuata strain TT chromosome 9, whole genome shotgun sequence.